rnacentral:rRNA from 1 species
UUAAAUGUAAAUUUUUUAUUUAAUUAUUAUUAAUUAUGAUCUUUAAAAUUAAAAAAUUUGGCGGUAUUUUAGUCUUUUUAGAGGAACCUGUUUUUUAAAUGAUAAUCCACGAUUUAAUUGACUUUUAUUAUUAGUUUGUAUAUCGUCGUAAUUAAAUAUUUUUAUAGAAUUAUAAUAUUUAAAAUUUUUUUAAAAAAAUUAAUCAGAUCAAGGUGCAGUUUAUAUAAAAGUUUAAAUGGGUUACAUUAAAUUUAUUUUUGGAUUUAAAAUAUUAUUAUUUUAAUGAAAUUGGAUUUAAUUGUAAUAUUAAUUAAUUAAUUAAUAUGAUUUUGGCUCUAAAAUAUGU